ACCGGAUGAGCACACGCAUCCACUGUAUAGAUUUUUACCUUACUUUAGUUCAAUUCUACGACGACGUAAUUAGUUACCGAAUUAGUAAUUUAUUAAUAGGACUUCUUGAAACUUUCAACCAUGGAACAGGGAUUAUGGGUUUUAGUAGAGUGGGUGGAUGAUGAUUCACAAGACACAAAAGAUUUUUCAAGUUAUAGCGUGGUAAAUGUGGCUUUGAUAGACAGCAAUGAGAUAAGUGAGGGGAAGAUUGUUCUAGUUAGAGAUGGUGUUAAGGGAAAACCGAGGAGAGGACAAGUACAUAAGACUUCAGAAGUGAAAAGCUAUUUAGAAGAAUUGUUGGGUGUUUUUUUGGGACGAGACAAAAGGUUACAACAUCUGUUACCACUUGGUACGGACACGAACGAAAUAGAAAAGCCAGAGGAAAUGAUCCUACCUCUAAUCAGUGAAAGUGACUUCAUGCAAGAUGAUUAUACAGGACAACAGUGACAGGGAAGUCCAUCUCAUCCCUAGAGUAUUUCUUCGACAACAGUGCUAGUGAUUCUGACGCUGAGAUAUAUAAAUUAUAAUUUUGCCGCACCCCAAAACGACCAAAGUGGUAAUGCCGUGCAAGAAACAAAUGACAAUCAUUCUAAUAACACACCAACCAAUCCAGAGACAACGCCUCAAACUGAGACAAGUCGCCAGGCAUCACAAGAACCGAUACUAGUAAUACAGAAACUAAUGUAGAGGUUUGUAACUAUAUAUACAUUACAUACAUUUUUCCGCGAUAACCAUUUCUGUAAAGGAUAAAGUACACUGAAAAUCUCUUCUACUACUUUUACUAUGCCAUGACAUUGAAGCAUACGAAUGCCUCAAUACAAAUUAUUUGCCAAGUGUACAUCUGGAUAAAAUUUUAAUUUUACAAAAUUGUAUCGCACCUUCUCAGACAUUUGGAAAUAUGUAUAUUUCAAAUGAGAACAUAGGACUGUACACUGUUAACAAAAGACUGAUUUAAAAAAUGUUCAUAUAUAAGUACUUUAAUUGAAUAGCAUAACAAUAACAUCGACUUUACAUACUUUUUGGUGGAAAGGGAAUUUUCGAUCCCUGUUGCUGUAUAUGGCUUAUACGGAUAAGAUUUCCAUACUUAGCAGAGGCAUGUUUCUACAAAUAAU